rnacentral:rRNA from 1 species
AGAGACAGCAGCCGCCGCGGUAAUACGUAGGUGGCAAGCGUUGUCCGGAAUUAUUGGGCGUAAAGGGCUCGCAGGCGGUUUCUUGAGUCUGAUGUGAAAGCCCCCGGCUCAACCGGGGAGGGUCAUUGGAAACUGGGAAACUUGAGUGCAGAAGAGGAGAGUGGAAUUCCACGUGUAGCGGUGAAAUGCGUAGAGAUGUGGAGGUACACCAGUGGCGAAGGCGACUCUCUGGUCUGUAACUGACGCUGAGGAGCGAAAGCGUGGGGAGCGAACAGGAUUAGAUACCCGUGUAGUCCCUGUCUCUUAUAC